GAUUUGAAACAGUUUACAGGAGAAACUUCUGAAUUUCAAACACUCGGAUAAAUUCUGAGAUAAACUAAUUGCCAUGGUUUCUGCUCUUUCUUGGCAGGAAUCCCACAAAUUGUUGUUCUCACCAAAAUCGAUGAAGCCUGUCCUGAAGUCAACAAAGACCUGAAGAAUGUCUACAAGAGCAAGCACAUCAAACAGCAGAUGGAAGCAGUGAGUGCUGCGGUGGGGAUUCCAAUGAACUGCAUCUUCCCAGUGAAGAACUACAGCUCAGAAAUCGAAACAAACGAUGAGAUGGAUUCACUGAUACUGAGCGCAAUGAGAAAGAUCAUUGACUACGGAGAAGACUUCCUGAAUGAAUAGUCUGCUUCAGAUGACGAUGGCAUUUAGGAAAUCACCCUCAAUCACAACAUGGAACAUGAUUGAAAACAGUGAUAAUGAAAAAUUUGAAAUUUAACACCUGAAAACAGAACUAAAAUGUUAUCAAUGUCAGCAGUAUCACAAUUCACUGAGUUCUAUAUGAAUGUUCAUGAAUGAAGUUAAA